GUGGGGAAUCUUGCGCAAUGGGCGAAAGCCUGACGCAGCCAUGCCGCGUGAAUGAUGAAGGUCUUAGGAUUGUAAAAUUCUUUCACCGGGGACGAUAAUGACGGUACCCGGAGAAGAAGCUCCGGCUAACUUCGUGCCAGCAGCCGCGGUAAUACGAAGGGGGCUAGCGUUGCUCGGAAUUACUGGGCGUAAAGGGCGCGUAGGCGGACAGCUUAGUCAGAGGUGAAAGCCCAGGGCUCAACCUUGGAAUUGCCUUUGAUAAUGGCUGUCUGGAGUUGAGGAGGGGGGAGUGGAACUCCGGGGGUAGAGGUGAAAUUCGUAGAUAUGCGGAAGAACACCAGUGGCGAAGGCGACUCACUGGCCCAAUACUGACGCUGAGGCGCGAAAGCGUGGGGAGCAAACAGGAUUAGAAACCCUAGUAGUCC
rnacentral:rRNA from 1 species